rnacentral:rRNA from 1 species
UACGAAGGGGGCUAGCGUUGCUCGGAAUUACUGGGCGUAAAGCGCACGUAGGCGGCUUUCUAAGUCGGGGGUGAAAUCCUGGAGCUCAACUCCAGAACUGCCUUCGAUACUGGCGACCUUGAGUCCGGGAGAGGUGAGUGGAACUCCGAGUGUAGAGGUGAAAUUCGUAGAUAUUCGGAAGAACACCAGUGGCGAAGGCGGCUCACUGGCCCGGUACUGACGCUGAGGUGCGAAAGCGUGGGGAGCAAACAGG